rnacentral:rRNA from 1 species
CAAUGGGCGCAAGCCUGAUCCAGCAAUGCCGCGUGAGUGAAGAAGGCCUCGGUUGUAAAGCUCUUUCAGUUGAGAAGAAAAGAUUGUGACUAAUAAUUGCAAUUCAUGACGGUAUCAACAGAAGAAGCACCGGCUAACUACGUGCCAGCAGCCGCGGUAAUACGUAGGGUGCGAGCGUUAAUCGGAAUUACUGGGCGUAAAGGGUGCGCAGGCGGUUCUGUAAGUCAGAUGUGAAAUCCCCGGGCUUAACCUGGGAACUGCGUUUGAAACUACAGAGCUAGAGUGUGGCAGAGGGGGUGGAAUUCCAUGUGUAGCAGUGAAAUGCGUAGAGAUAUGGAAGAACAUCGAUGGCGAAGGCAGCCCCCCUGGGUCAACACUGACGCUCAUGCACGAAAGCGUGGGGAGCGAAACAGGAUUAGAUACCCUGGUAGUCCACGCCCUAAACUAUGUCAACUAGUUGUCGGGCCUUAUUAGGUUUGGUAACGUAGCUAACGCGUGAAGUUGACCGCU